rnacentral:rRNA from 1 species
GCCCGCUCAGAAACUACAAAGGAAGUUGACGGGGCCCGCACAAGCGGUGGAGCAUGUGGUUUAAUUCGAUGAUACGCGAGGAACCUUACCUGGGCUCAAAUGUAUGUUGACGCAUUCUGAAAGGGAUACUUCUUCGGACAAUAUACAAGGUGCUGCAUGGUUGUCGUCAGCUCGUGCCGUGAGGUGUCGGGUUAAGUCCCAUAACGAGCGCAACCCCUUUCCUUAGUUGCCAUCAGGUAAUGCUGGGGACUCUAAGGAUACUGCCCGGUUAACGGGGAGGAAGGUGGGGAUGACGUCAAGUCAGUAUGUCCCUUACGUCCAGGGCUACACACGUGUUACAAUGGCCGGUACAAUGAGUUGCGACCCUGCAAAGGUAAGCCAAUCUCAAAAAACCGGUCUCAGUUCGGAUUGCAGUCUGCAACUCGACUGCAUGAAGUUGGAAUCGCUAGUAAUCGUAGAUCAGCACGCUACGGUGAAUACGUUCCCGGGCCUU